CGGUUGAUCCUGCCGGAGGUCACUGCUAUUGGGAUUCGACUAAGCCAUGCGAGUCGAGAGGGUUCGGCCCUCGGCUGACGGCUCAGUAACACGUGGAUAAUCUGCCCUUAGGUGGAGGAUAAUCUCGGGAAACUGAGGAUAAUACUCCAUAGAUCUAGGAUGCUGGAAUGCAUCUAGAUUGAAAGCUCCGGCGCCUAAGGAUGAGUCUGCGGACUAUCAGGUUGUAGUCAGGGUAAAGACCUGACUAACCUACGACGGAUACGGGUUGUGAGAGCAAUAACCCGGAGACGAUAUCUGAGACACGAUAUCGGGCCCUACGGGGCGCAGCAGGCGCGAAACCUUCACACUGUGCGAAAGCGCGAUGAGGGAAUCCCAAGUGCUUGCACGUAAGUGUAAGCUGUUUUUGUGUAUAAAAAGCAUAGAGAGUAAGAGCUGGGUAAGACGGGUGCCAGCCGCCGCGGUAAUACCUGCAGCUCAAGUGGUGACCACUAUUAUUGGGCCUAAAACGUUCGUAGCCGGUUUAGUAAAUGCCUGGGUAAAUCGAGCCGCUUAACGGUUCGACUUCCGGGUAGACUGCUAAACUUGAGACCGGGGGAGGCUAGAGGUACUCCUGGGGUAGAGGUGAAAUUCUGUAAUCCUGGGGGGACCACCAGUGGCGAAGGCGUCUAGCUAGAACGGGUCUGACGGUGAGGGACGAAGCCCUGGGGCGCAAACCGGAUUAGAUACCCGGGUAGUCCAGGGUGUAAACGCUGCUUGCUUGAUGUUAGUUGGGCUCUGAGCCCGAUUAGUGUCGGAGAGAAGUUGUUAAGCAAGCUGCCUGGGAAGUACGGUCGCAAGGCUGAAACUUAAAGGAAUUGGCGGGGGAGCAC
rnacentral:rRNA from 1 species